GGAGUGAGCCAGACGGUCGCGUCAGCCUUACGGCUGAUGAGGAAAGUCCGAACUCCACAGGACAGGACGCCUCGUAACGCGAGGGCGCUGAAAGGCGACGGAAAGUGCCGCAGAAAACAAACCGCCAGUCUUUAUGGCUGGUAAGGGUGAAAAGGUGGGGUAAGAGCCCACCGCUCCGGGAGGUAACUUCCGGGGGCAUGGUAAACCCCGUCCGGAGCGAGACUAAAUAGGCGGGAAUCCUGAGUAAUUGGGAACGGGCUGGUCCGGUCCGUUUGACCCGCGGGUAAGUCGCUUGAGCUGAAGGGUGACUUUCAGCCCAGAUAAAUGACCGUCCCAGACAGAAUUCGGCUUACAGGCUCACUCCGAUU
rnacentral:RNase_P_RNA from 1 species